rnacentral:rRNA from 1 species
UACGUAGGGGGCGAGCGUUGUCCGGAGUUACUGGGCGUAAAGGGCAUGCAGGCGGUCGGACGCGUUUUGUGUGACAGCGGGUGGCUCAACUACGCGAGCAUACGAAAGACGGUUUGACUUGAGGGCUCGAGAGGGACACGGAAUUCCGGGUGGAGUGGUGAAAUGCGUAGAGAUCCGGAGGAACACCGAAGGCGGAAGGCAGUGUCCUGGCGAGUGACUGACGCUGAGGUGCGAAAGCCAGGGGAGCGAACGGG